GGAGGGGUGUCCGAGAGGCUGAAGGAACGCGACUGGAAAUCGCGUAUACGGGAAACCGUAUCAGGGGUUCGAAUCCCCUCCCCUCCG
rnacentral:tRNA from 1 species